rnacentral:rRNA from 1 species
UACGUAGGGGGCAAGCGUUGUCCGGAUUCAUUGGGCGUAAAGAGCGUGUAGGCGGCCAGGUAGGUCGGUUGUGAAAACUGGAGGCUCAACCUUCAGAGGUCGACCGAAACCAUCUGGCUAGAGUCCGGGAGAGGAGAGUGGAAUUCCUGGUGUAGCGGUGGAAUGCGCAGAUAUCAGGAGGAACACCAACGGCGAAGGCAGCUCGCUGGGACGGUACUGACACUGAGGCGCGAAAGCGUGGGGAGCGAACAGG